rnacentral:rRNA from 1 species
UACGGGAGGCAGCAGUGGGGAAUAUUGCACAAUGGGCGAAAGCCUGAUGCAGCUAUGCCGCGUGUAUGAAGAAGGCCUUAGGGUUGUAAAGUACUUUCAUCGGGGAGGAAAAAACAAAACUAAUAAUUUUAUUUCUUGACGUUACCCGAAAAAGAAGCACCGGCUAACUCCGUGCCAGCAGCCGCGGUAAUACGGAGGGUGCUAGCGUUAAUCAGAAUUACUGGGCGUAAAGAGCACGUAGGUGGUUUUUUAAGUCAGAUGUGAAAUCCCUGGGCUUAACCUAGGAACUGCAUUUUGAAAACUGAAAUACUAGAGUAUCGUAGAGGGAGGUAGAAUUCUAGGUGUAGCGGUGAAAUGCGUAGAUAUCUGGAGGAAUACCUGUGGCGAAAGCGGCCUCCUAAACGAAUACUGACACUGAGGUGCGAAAAGCGUGGGGGAGCAAACAGGGAUUAAGAUACC